AUGUCAUGGUGUGGACAUUCCAUUUGUAGGUCUUUGCACCUCUCCCAUGCAUUAUAGAGUGAUUCUCUUUUCCUUUGUCUAAAAGUAUUUAGUUUUACUCUCAAUUU